AAAUUGAAGAGUUUGAUCAUGGCUCAGAUUGAACGCUGGCGGCAGGCCUAACACAUGCAAGUCGAACGGUAACAGGAAGAAGCUUGCUUCUUUGCUGACGAGUGGCGGACGGGUGAGUAAUGUCUGGGAAACUGCCUGAUGGAGGGGG
rnacentral:rRNA from 2 species